rnacentral:rRNA from 1 species
AGAGUUUGAUCCUGGCUCAGGAUGAACGCUAGCGACAGGCUUAACACAUGCAAGUCGAGGGGCAGCGGGGCUUUUGGGCAACCAGAGGCCGCCGGCGACCGGCGCACGGGUGAGUAACGCGUAUGCAACCUGCCCGGCUCAGUGGGAUAACCCGGAGAAAUCCGGACUAAUACCGCAUGCGCCCCCUUGGGGACAUCCCCUUGGGGGCAAAGGAGGCGACUCCGGAGCCGGAUGGGCAUGCGUGGCAUUAGCUGGUUGGCGGGGUAACGGCCCACCAAGGCGACGAUGCCUAGGGGUUCUGAGAGGAAGGUCCCCCACACUGGUACUGAGACACGGACCAGACUCCUACGGGAGGCAGCAGUGAGGAAUAUUGGUCAAUGGGCGGUAGCCUGAACCAGCCAAGUCGCGUGAGGGACGACGGCCCUACGGGUUGUAAACCUCUUUUGCCGGGGAGCAAAGAGCGGGACGCGUCCCGCCUCGAGAGUACCCGGAGAAAAAGCAUCGGCUAACUCCGUGCCAGCAGCCGCGGUAAUACGGAGGAUGCGAGCGUUAUCCGGAUUUAUUGGGUUUAAAGGGUGCGCAGGCGGAAGCGCAAGUCAGCGGUAAAAUUGAGAGGCUCAACCUCUUCCCGCCGUUGAAACUGCGUUUCUUGAGUGGGCGAGAAGUACGCGGAAUGCGUGGUGUAGCGGUGAAAUGCAUAGAUAUCACGCAGAACUCCGAUUGCGAAGGCAGCGUACCGGCGCCCAACUGACGCUCAUGCACGAAAGCGUGGGUAUCGAACAGGAUUAGAUACCCUGGUAGUCCACGCAGUAAACGAUGAAUACUCGCUGUCCGGGGAGAUUGGUCUCUGGGCGGCCAAGCGAAAGCGUUAAGUAUUCCACCUGGGGAGUACGCCGGCAACGGUGAAACUCAAAGGAAUUGACGGGGGCCCGCACAAGCGGAGGAACAUGUGGUUUAAUUCGAUGAUACGCGAGGAACCUUACCCGGGCUCAAACGACGGAUGAAUACUUUUGAAAGGAGGUAGUCCUUCGGGACAUCCGUCGAGGUGCUGCAUGGUUGUCGUCAGCUCGUGCCGUGAGGUGUCGGCUUAAGUGCCAUAACGAGCGCAACCCCCAUCGCCAGUUGCCAACAGGUAAAGCUGGGAACUCUGGCGAGACUGCCGGCGCAAGCUGUGAGGAAGGCGGGGAUGACGUCAAAUCAGCACGGCCCUUACGUCCGGGGCGACACACGUGUUACAAUGGCAGGUACAGAGAGAUGCGACACGGCGACGUGGAGCGGAACUGUCAAAACCUGUCUCAGUUCGGAUCGGAGUCUGCAACCCGACUCCGUGAAGCUGGAUUCGCUAGUAAUCGCGCAUCAGCCAUGGCGCGGUGAAUACGUUCCCGGGCCUUGUACUCACCGCCCGUCA